UUCUUUUAUACACGGAUUUAGCUCACUUUUCUUCAUUUCUUCAAAGUAUGGACGACUUUUGGGGAGCUUCAAGAGGGGAUUUUCAUCAUCAAUGUGAAGGUAAGUUAUCCCCACCUAUUUUGAGUUAAGUACAUCAAUUAUGUAUGGAUUUGAGCAUGAAAAUUGUAGAAAAAUUGAGGAUUUAGGCCUAGGGAUUUGAAAAUAAGAUUUGGUGAUUUGAUGGGUCAAAUGAACUCCGAUUUUGGUAAAUUUUAUAUGUACGGACUCGUGGCGAGACGAGGAAUUUGGUGAUGUGACUUUCGUAAUUUUUCGAGAAGUGGGCCCAGGGCUCGGGUUUUGCUAAUUUCGGGAUUUUCGACAUUUUUCGAGUCUUUUCGAUUGGGUUAUAUUUCCUUAGCCUAUUGUGACGUAUUCGAUGUGGUUUUGACUAGAUUUGACGCGCGAAGAGGUCGAUUCAAGAGGAAAGGGCAUUGCGGACUAGUCUACGGCCUGUUAGAGGUGAGUAAUAGAUGUAAAUGUUGUUCUGAGGGUUUGAAACCCCGGACUUUCACAUCGUAACGCUAUAUUGAGGCGUGACACGCACUCCAUGGCGA
rnacentral:lncRNA from 1 species